rnacentral:rRNA from 1 species
CAGUAGCCGCGGGAAUACGAAGGGGGCUAGCGUUGCUUGGAAUUACUGGGCGUAAAGGGAGCGUAGGCGGACAUUUAAGUCAGGGGUGAAAUCCCAGAGCUCAACCCCGGAACUGCAUCCGAGACUGGCAGGCUUGAGACCGGGAGAGGAGGGUGGAAUAUCCAGUGUAGAGGUGAAAUUUGUAGAUAUUGGAUGGAACACCGGUGGCGAAAGCGGCUCUCUGGCCCGGAUCUGACGCUGAGGCGCGAAAGCGUGGGGAGCAAACAGGAUUAGAUACCCGCGUAGUCCCUGUCUCUUAUAC